rnacentral:rRNA from 1 species
GAUGAACGCUGGCGGCGUGCUUAACACAUGCAAGUCGAGCGAGAAGUUUUGAACAGAUUCUUCGGAUGAAAUUUAAAAUGGAAAGCGGCGGACGGGUGAGUAACGCGUAGGCAACCUGCCCCAUACAAAGGGAUAGCAUUUGGAAACGAAUAUUAAUACCUUAUGAAACUUAACUAGUGCAUGCUAGGUAGGUCAAAGAUUUAUCGGUCUGGGAUGGGCCUGCGUCUGAUUAGCUAGUUGGGGAGGUAGCGGCUCACCAAGGCGACGAGCAGUAGCCGACCUGGGAGGGUGAACUGCCACAUAGGAACUGAGACACGGGCCAAACUCCUACGGGAGGCAGCAGAGGGGAAUAUUGCACAAUGGGGGAAACCCUGAUACAGCAACGCCGCGUGAACGAGGAAGGCCUUUGGGUCGUAAAGUGCUGUUCUAGGUGAUGAAAACUGACAGUAACCGAGGAGAAAGCCCCGGCUAACUCCGUG